CUCUCACCUCAGCCUCCCAAGUAGCUGGGAAUACAGGUGGGCACCACCACACAUGGCUAAUUUUUUGUAUUUUUUUGUAGGGAUGGGGUUUUGCCAUGUUGCCUGGUUUGGUCUGGAACUCAAGUGAUCCACCUGCCUCAGCCUCCCAAAGUGCUGGGAUUACAGGCAUAAGCCUAGCCUCACAAUUUGUUUUCUUAAAGAAAUUUCUCAAACUUGUAGAAGCUUCAGGACCCCCAAAAUACUAAAUCUGUUCCUGAUGGGAGCUACAUGGCGCAUAGUCUCAUUUACAGUGGCCACCAAUGGAUAUUGGGGCACACCUAUGGAACAUGUCCUGUUGCUCGCCUUCUUGGAGGGUGAUCAGGAUAAGCUUGAAAGAUAAAUAUUUGCCAGGCCGACCAAGUGGCAGUGGCAUUACAUGCAAUAUUUGAGUCUGAGCAAAGAACUGUGGGGAAAAUGAAAAGAUGGAACUCGUAUUCUGAGCAUUUAUAAUUGAAGACAGACCCCAAGAAUAUUUGGGAAGGGGAGAAAUGGUGUGAGUCUAGGAGGAAGUGUUUGAGGUGAGUACAGAUUUCACCAUCAAAGUAUAAUAACGAAAUGACUCUAGUGGCCGUGAAUCCAAGAAUUAAAUAGGUUACAACAUGGACAGUGACUCUAAGGACAUUGUCAAGGUGCAGUGUUUCUUCCUACCAACCAGCCAGCCAGUUUUUAGAAGUUAGGAAUUUAGCUUGAGUGUGAGUUGGAAAGAAAGAUUUGGCUGCUCUCCAGUUACAAGAACAGUAUGUUGGCUGUAAUAAGGCCUAUGUAGAUAUUGUCUUAAUCUUAAAAGAGGCCAAGAUAUACAGUUCCUUCUAUGCAGUCUGGAUUUCCCACUGAUUUCAAAGGCAUUCCUGAGGGCAGGCCAGUUAUGAGAAACACAUUAGGCGCGGUCCAGACAGGCUGUUCAAAGAGGAUACCAUUCACCACCCCGUUUUCAGAGGAGCCUAAAGCACACGGCCAUGUUCGCUUCAAGCUACAAGCAUGUUUUCUGCGUAAUGGUGUUUACUUUCACUCCUUUUUUUGUUUUGUUUUUAUUUACUUAUUUUUUGAGACUGAGUUUAGCUCUUGUUGCCCAGGCUGGAGUGCCAUGGCACGAUCUCGGCUCUCUGCAACCUCCGCCUCCUGGGUUCAAGCGAUUCUUCUGCCUCAGCCUCCCGAGUAGCUGGAAUUACAGACAUGCGCCACCACGCCCAGCUAAUUUUGUAUUUUUAGUAGAGAUGGAGUUUCUCCAUGUUGGUCAGGCCCGUCUCAAACUCCCAACCUCAGGCGAUCCGCCCGCCUCGGCCUCCUAAAGUGCUGGGAUUACAGGCGUGAGCCACUGCGCCUGGCCACUCCUUCAUUUUUAUUUUUGAAAAUGUACUAUAGGAUAUUAUAUUGUGCCUAGAGUUCCUGCCAGUGUUCUUUUGUAUGCGAAUUGUAAUUAAAAAACCAGUAUCUAUCUAUUUUUCCAAACAUAAACAAGUCCAGUUUCUGGAUUUGAACUUUUGUUCCUCCUGCUACUAAAUCAUUUUAGUAACUGCAAGACACCUAUGAACUCUAUAGUAGUCAGUCGUUCAAGUAGGAGCUACCAGUUGCAUCUAGGACAGUGCCAGUUAUCUUGAUCAUGGGUGCCCUAAAUCUGCACCUCAUCCUCUCCAGCUAUUCAAAACAGUCUUCUGGACAUCCAGAAGCUAUGCUUCUAGCUAUUUAGUUGUCUGUAGAAGGUGAUUGUAGAGUUUUCAGUGCCUAGCCACAAUGCCAGUGUGUUAUCUGAAGAUACACGGUUAAGAACAUGGGCUCCAGCCUGACCAACAUGGUGAAACCCCAUCUCUAUUGAAAAUACAAAAAGUAGCCGGGCGUGGUGGCGCGCACCUGUAAUCCCAGCUACUUGGGAACGCUGAGGCAGGGCAAUCGCUUGAACCCAGGAGGUGGAGGUUGCAGUGAGCCGAGAUCGUGCCAUUGCACCCCAGCCUGGGUGUCAAGAGUGAGACCCUGUCUUUUUUUUUUUUGAUAUGGAGUCUCACACUGUCACCAGGCUGGAGUGCAGUGGUGCAAUCUUGGCUCACAGCAACCUCUGCCUCCCAGGUUCAAGUGAUUCUCCUGCCUCAGCCUCCC
rnacentral:lncRNA from 10 species